CUUGACUGUAUCCUGGAACUGGGUUCGGGCUUUUCUUGCGCAGCCUAGGUGGGAGGCUAUGAAGAUUUCCUUCCGGGGAAGUUGGAGCCAUCAGUGAGAGACCACUCUGGAGAGGCUAGAAUCCUAAUGGUGAUCCUUGAAUCAGGACACUUGACAGUUUCAGGUGGGCAGUUUUUCUGGGGCGGAAGCCUCAUAAAAGGUAACUGAGGCGCGCAAAGGUUCCCUCAGUCUGGACGGAAAUCAGACAUUGAGUGUAAAGGCAAAAGGGAGCUUGACUGCAAGACCUACAAGUCGAGCAGGAGCGAAAGCUGGCCUUAGUGAUCCGACGGUUCCGCGUGGAAGGGCCGUCGCUCAACGAAUAAAAGUUA
rnacentral:rRNA from 1 species